rnacentral:rRNA from 1 species
GCAAUUCGUAAGAUAUUGUAAACUCUAGUUGGCGGAUAGGUAGUCAAAGAGAGAAUCUCCCUCCAGGAGGGGAAUAACAGUUCGGACACGACUGCUCAUCGCCGCAUAUCAUAACUCUCGAAAGAAGAGAUUCCGCCUCAAAGAGAGCUUCGCGUCUGAUUAGCUCAGUUCGGUAAGGGUAAAGGCCUACCAAGGCGACGAUUCAGUAGCUCGGUCCGAGAGGACGACCAGUCACACUCGGAACUGAGACACGGUCCAGACUCCUACGGGAGGCAGCAGUGGGGAAUCUUCUGCAAUGGGCGAAAGCCUGACAGAGCAAUACCGCGUGAGGGAAGAAAGCCCACAGGGUUGUAAACCUCUUCCGUCAAGGAAGAAGUUCUGACGUUACUUCGACGAAUAAGCAUCGGCUAACUCCGUGCCAGCAGCCGCGGUAAGACGGGGGAUGCAAGUGUUAUCCGGAAUCACUCGGGCGUAAAGCGUUUUGUAGGUGGUUUAGUAAGUCUAUUUGUUAAAGCUUUGAAGCUUAACUUUCAAAAAUGUAAUAGAAACUACUAGACUUUGAGGAUAGUAGGGGUAAAGGGAAUUUUCCAGUGGAGCGGUGAAAUGCGUAGAGAUUGGAAGGACCACCGAUGGCGAAGGCACUUUACUGGGCUAUUUCUGACACUAAGAGACGAAAGCUAGGGUAGCGAAUGGGAUUAGAUACCCCAGUAGUCCUAGCUGUAAACGAUG